AUAUUCUCUCCAAGUGUGACUUUGAAGACAAUUCCAGACCUUUCUGUGACUGGUCUCAAAUGUCUCAGGAUGAUGGGGACUGGGUUCGGACUACUGGGCCCUCCCUGACUGGCACUUCUGGCCCCCCCGGGGGGUACCCCAAUGGAGAGGGGUAUUACCUGCACAUGGAUCCCAAGACCUUCCCUCGGGGCGGAGUGGCACGCCUGCGUAGCCCUGACAUAUGGGAGCAAGGCCCACUUUGCGUCCAUUUUGCCUUCCACAUGUUUGGGCUGUCAUGGGGUGCCCAGCUCAGACUGCUGCUGAUCAGGGGCCGGAAGCACCACCGGCCCUACAUGCUCUGGAAACAUGUGAACACCCAGAGUCCCUCUUGGAUGCCCACCACUGUCACUGUGCCAGCAGAUCAUGAUAUACCAAGCUGGGUGAGGUCAAGAGCAGACCUAGAGGUCUGGUAGGGAAGGGAUCUAAAGGAAGGGGCUUAGGAAGGUAGGCUGUGGCAAAGGGGGGCACCCAGAGGGCAGUCAGGGUUUUCCUACAUCAAGCCUGGUGACCUGGGAUCAGUCUCCAGGACUCAUGUGGGAAAAGGCUAGAACCAACCCCAAAAGUUGUCCUCUGACUCACGUUUAUGUUAUGUGUUAUAAAUGAAUGGAAUUUUUAAAAAGAGGAGACCUAGAUCCCCAGCCAUCUGAAGGAUGGAAACCAGCAACCACAGAGAAAGGAGGGCCAAUCACGUGGCCCGCAGGGUCAGGGUCUCUUUGUCUCUAAUCCGCAGCUGAUGUUCGAAGGCGUGAGAGGAAACACCGCAUACCUGGACAUUUCUCUGGAUGGCCUCUCUAUCCAGCGCGGUACCUGCAAUCGGAUCUGCAUGUCCCAGAUGUGCACCUUUGAUACUCUAAAUGAUCUCUGCGGCUGGAGCUGGGUCCCAACUGCCACCGGGGCUAAGUGGACCCAAAAGAAGGGAGCAACGGGGACGUUGGGUGUGGGGCCUGAUGAAGACUUCUCUAACCCUAGUAGUGGAUAUUACAUGCUCCUGGACUCUACAAAUGCAAGGCCAGGGCAGAAAGCCGUACUUCUGAGUCCCCUGAGCCACUCCAGUGGAUGUCUGACCCUGUCUUUCUACUACAUAAUGCACGGCCAAGGACACGAUGAAGGCCUUUUUGUCUAUGCUACAUUUUUGGGCAACAUCCGGAAACACUCUCUCUUCUCAGGACAUCCUGGACCUGACUGGCAGGCUGUGUCCGUCAAUUACACAGGACAGGGACAGAUACAGUUCAUGGUGGUGGGUGUGUUUGGAAAUAACCCAGAGCCAGCAAUAGCUGUGGAUGCCAUCAGCAUUGCUCCCUGUGGGGAGAGCUUUCCCCAGUGUGACUUCGAAGACAGAAAUCAUCCUUUCUGUGAUUGGAGCCAGAUGUAUGGAGACAUUGGACACUGGAGCUGGGGAAGUAAAAGCGUACCCACCCCCAUCUCAGGGUCCCCAAGAGAGUUCCCAUAUGGAGGUGAGGAGACUGAAGACCUUCUUGUGGUUAUGAGUCAUAGCGUUUGCAUCUGGUCAGGGACUUG
rnacentral:lncRNA from 14 species